rnacentral:rRNA from 1 species
GACGAACGCUGGCGGCGUGCUUAACACAUGCAAGUCGAACGAAGUGGCGAACGGGUGAGUAACGCGUAAUCAACCUGCCCUUCAGUGGGGGACAACAGGUGAAACCGACUCCUAAUACCGCAUACUGCAGUGGGGGUUUGCGUCUGAUUAGCUAGUUGGUGGGGUAACGGCCCACCAAGGAGAUGAUCAGUAGCCGGUCUGAGAGGAUGAACGGCCACAUUGGGACUGAGACACGGCCCAGACUCCUACGGGAGGCAGCAGUGGGGAAUCUUCCGCAAUGGACGAAAGUCUGACGGAGCAACGCCGCGUGAGUGAUGACGGCCUUCGGGUUGUAAAGCUCUGUUAAUCGGGACGCGGUACCGGAAUAGAAAGCCACGGCUAACUACGUGCCAGCAGCCGCGGUAAUUC